rnacentral:ncRNA from 1 species
UAAAAGUGUUUUACUUUUAAUAUUUGUGUAUUUUUUAAUUUAAUGUAAAUUUUAGUGUUAUAAAAAAAGAGAUAAAAAUUUAAAUAGUUUAAUUGAAAAUUAAUUUGCAGUAAUAAGUUUUAUUUAUUUAAUGAUUUAAGAAAAAGAUAAUAAUAAUUAGUAUAAACUAAAUUUGUGCCAGCAGUUGCGGUUAUACAAAUUGUGCAAUAAAUAUUGUUUAGGUUGAGUUAAUAAUUUAAAAGUUUGAAAUAAUAAUAGAGAAUAUUUUUUAGGGUGAAAUUUUAAUGUAUUUAAUAUUUUAUUUUAUUCUUAUUUAUGAGGCUUAAAAAUUUUAGAUUAAAACUAGGAUUAGAUACCCUAUUAUAAAGAUGUAAAUUUAUAGCUUAAAUUAGUAGUAGAAGAUUUAUUAAAUUUAUUUUAUUUAAAUUUAAAAUUAUCUUGAAAAUUAAAAAAAAUGGCGGUAUUUUAGUCUAUUCAGAGGAACCUGCCCUGUAAUUGAUAUUCCACGAUUUUUCUUACUUUUUUUUUUAGUUUACAUAUCGCUGUUAUUUGAAUAUUUUUGUUGAAUUUUUAAUAUUCAAGAUUUUUUUAAAAAAAGUUCAGGUCAAGAUGUAAUUUAUAAAAAAGAAGAGGUGGGUUACAUAAAAAAAAUUUAUGGAGAAGUUUUUUAGAAGAUUUUUGAAAUUGGAUUUGAUGGUAAUUUUAUAUUUAUUAUAAUUUGAUAGUAGCUCUAAAAUAUGUACAUAUCGCCCGUCGCUUUCGCUAUAAAGUGAAAUAAGUCGUAACAUAGUAGAGGUACUGGAAAGUGUCUCUAGAAGAAC